CCGCGUGAGGGACGACGGCCUUCGGUUGUAACCUCUUUAGUAGGGAAGAAGCGAGAGUGACGGUACCUGCAGAAAAAGCACCGGCUAACUACGUGC
rnacentral:rRNA from 1 species